rnacentral:rRNA from 1 species
UACGUAGGGGGCAAGCGUUGUCCGGAUUUAUUGGGCGUAAAGGGCGCGUAGGCGGUUUCUUAAGUUUGGAGUGACAGUGGGUGGCUUAACUACCCAAGGCCUCUGAAACUGGGGAACUUGAGGACCAGAGAGGGACAUAGAAUUCCGGGUGGAGUGGUGAAUGCGGUAGAUAUCCGGAGGAAUACCAAGGCGAAGGCAGUGUCCUGGAGGUGACUGACGCUGAGGCGCGAAGCUAGGGAGCGAACAGG